rnacentral:rRNA from 1 species
UACGAAGGGGGCUAGCGUUGUUCGGAAUCACUGGGCGUAAAGCGCACGUAGGCGGAUUGUUAAGUCGGGGGUGAAAUCCUGAGGCUCAACCUCAGAACUGCCUUCGAUACUGGCAAUCUCGAGUCCGGAAGAGGUUGGUGGAACAGCUAGUGUAGAAGUGAAAUUCGUAGAUAUUAGCUAGAACACCAGUGGCGAAGGCGGCCCAACUGGUCCGGUACUGACGCUGAGGUGCGAAAGCGUGGGGAGCAAACAGG